rnacentral:pre_miRNA from 1 species
AGAAGACUUGGACCAUCGGUCUGCCGAGCAACGGCACCCGCUUGGUGGAAGAUCUCUUCCCUUUGUCGA